UACGUAGGGGGCAAGCGUUGUCCGGAAUUAUUGGGCGUAAAGCGCGUGUAGGCGGUCCGGUAAGUCGGCUGUGAAAGUCCAGGGCUCAACCCUGGGAUGCCGGUCGAUACUGCCGGACUAGAGUUCGGAAGAGGCGAGUGGAAUUCCCGGUGUAGUGGUGCAAUGCGUAGAUAUCGGGAGGAACACCAGUGGCGAAGGCGACUUCCUGGCCUGUUCUUGACGCUGAGGCGCGAAAGCUAGGGGAGCAAACGGG
rnacentral:rRNA from 1 species